GACUCCUAGUUAGGUUAUGACUGCUAGUUUGCUCUCUUUAUAUAGAGGAGCUAAUGUACUCUAAUGGGACAAAUUUGAAGAAUGAUGAAUUGAGUUAAUGUUUAAGAGCCUUAAGGCUGUGUGUGAUUCCCCUUUAGACCAUAUGGGUGCAAGAAUUUUGCAAUAAGAUGCUCUUCCUCUACAAUAUGUGCCUUUGCACACCUCAAUGCUUGGGAAGAGCAACCACUCACAACUUUAUGCGAAGAAAUUCAAAUACUUCCUUGGGUAAUGGUUUGGUGAAGAUAUCUACCAUCUGCUCUGCUGUGGGGAUGAACUCCAAAUAAACUCCUUUGACUACCUUCUUUCUUAAGAGGUGCUACUGGAUAGCAAUAUGGUUGGUGCCAUGUGUGAAUGCAUUAUUGGAUUCUUGAAAAUGUUGGAGCUUGUGUUGUUCCAAAACAUUGAGAUUUGCUAUGGUGAAUACCCAAUUCCUUCAACAUCUGCUUCAUCCACAAAAUCUAGGUACAACAGGAGGUUCUACCAUGUACUCUACCUUUGCUAUGGAUUGGGAGAUUGACUCCUGCUUCUUACUGUGCCAUGCAACAAUGUGGUUGCCUUAAUAGAAUGUGAGACUACUAUUGCUCUGUGUCAUCCACACAUUUUGCCCGAUCUACAUCAAAGUACGGAGAGAUUGUGAAGUUCUUGCUUUUGGGAUAUUGUUGAUUUGGGUGAUUGUGACUUGAGUCUUCAGACACCAAGCUGACCUUUAUUUAUAAUAGUUGGAAUAGGGUUUUACAAGAUUGAAAAGACCACUAUGCCCUUAAUAACAAAUAAGGUCAAAUCUACUCUUAAGCCUAUAUUACAACACUCAUCUUCAAGUUGGUGCAUAGAUAUCACACAUGCCCAACUUGCACAUGAUGAAAUGAAAAACUUUAUUACUAAGACCCUUUGUAAGAACAUCUACUGGCUGGUUUUCAUGGUUUUCUAUAUGGAUGACAAUAUCAUUUCUGGUGAUGAUGUGACUGGUAUUAUAGAGGUGAAAACCUAUUUACAACAGCAUUCUUCAGACUAAGGAUCUAGGUGAUCUCCACUAUUUUCUUGGUAUUGAGGUUGUGAGAAGCAAGAAAGGCGUAAAUCUAUGUCAAAGAAAGUAUGUAUUAGAUCUUUUAUUUGAUACUGAGAUGCUUGCAUCGAAGCCAUUGGAUAUUCCAAUGGACCCUCAUCAGAAGUUUGGUGUUGAUGAUGGUGAUCCCCUUAUAGAUGUUCAUCAGUAUAGGAGUCUGGUAAGGAAACUGAUAUAUCUUACAAUUACUAGGCCUGACAUUUCUUUUGUUGUUGGAGUUCUCAAUCAGAUUAUGCAAUCUCCUCAGAAAGCGCAUUGGGAUGCAACUAUUCAAAUUAUGGUUCUUCGUUCGUACCAAACCAUUUGCGGAAUCAAAUCAUGUUCCACAAGAUCCUAUAUCAGCUAUACAUCCUCCUCGCAUUUAUGCUAGAGACGUCGCCAGUGGUGCCCCUGGUUAAGGGGUAUUGUACGUUUGUUGGAAGGAAGUUGGUCACUUGGCUGAGCAAGAAACAUAACGACAAUUGCCUGGUCAAGGGCUGAAGCAGAGUACAGGGCCAUGGCUCAUAGAGUCAUACUACUCCCAAGCUAAUGCGGCUCAGGUCUCUCCUUCUUGUGAUUGGUUUUCCUAUGCCUACACCUAUGAAGAUGUAUUAUGACUACAAAGCAGCUAUAUAUAUAUUGCCAGUAAUCCAGUCUAUCAUGGACGGACAAAACACAUUGUGGUGGACUGUCAUUUUGUUCGAGAUGCCAUGUUGAAGAAGCUGGUUGAUAUUUUGUUUGUUUUGUCUUCAGAUCAACUAGCAGAUAUAUUUGCCAAGUCCUUGGUUGCUCUUAGUUUUCGUCAUUGUACCAAGCUGAGCAUGGGUGAUCUAUAUGCUCCAGCUUGAUGGGGAGUGUUAAAGUUCUAGGGGCAAUUAUGUCCUAUAGGGCUUAGUAUUCUGCCCUAUUUAUUUUAGUUUCUCUUUACUUAUUGUAAUAAUUAGGUUUGGGUAUUUUUGUCCCCUAACUUACACCUCUAAUGUGGACUUAUAUAUAAAUGUGGAGCAGCCUGCGAUGGGACACAAUUCACUAUCGCGGGUGGGCUGCCUCUAACACUCAAGUCCGGUGGUCUUUCUUUCUCUUUGUUUUCUCUUGGUUUGGUUACUUAGAUUCUGGUUUGUAACAGAGAUAAUAAUGUAAUUUGAUUUUCUAUC